rnacentral:rRNA from 1 species
UACGGGGGGGGCAAGCGUUGUUCGGAAUUACUGGGCGUAAAGGGCUCGUAGGCGGCCAACUAAGUCAGACGUGAAAUCCCUCAGCUUAACUGGGGAACUGCGUCUGAUACUGGAUGGCUAGAGUGUGGGAGAGGGAUGCGGAAUUCCAGGUGUAGCGGUGAAAUGCGUAGAUAUCUGGAGGAACACCGGUGGCGAAGGCGGCAUCCUGGACCACGACUGACGCUGAGUGAGCGAAAGCCAGGGGGGCAAACGGG